rnacentral:lncRNA from 1 species
AGUGAUUCAACCGCGCCACCGAGCGCGGAGCUGCCCUGGAGGACGCAGGCGGGUCUAGUUGCCCGGGUCCCCCAAGGCCCCCGGAUUCACCCAGGCCCGCGACUCCGACGUGCAGCUUAGGUGGGUUGCAGGUCUAUGGCAGGAAAGGGAGGGCGCCUUGGAAGAAUUCUUCCCUUCCAUUUGGUGAUAAAGUGGGAGAGGCGGCAUUUACAACAUUUAAUAGAAAGCACGGGCUCUGGGCUCCCCUCGGGCAGCGGAGGGCAUUUCCCGGAUGCUUUGCCCACCUGGGGCAGAAGCUCGGGACCUGCAGCGAAGUAAACGUGUGGCUGUGAGCAGGGCCCUCUCCCAGCCACGGUGGCUUCUUCUACCCCACGAAGGUCAAGAAUACCUGGCCUGCCCACCUCGCGGGGCCCUUAGCGGGUCGCACAGGAGAAAGGCGGUGGGAAUGCCGGUGUCAGCCACGGUGUGACCGGCUCGGCUCACAGGUCUGAGGGUCAGUUGGCUCAGGCAUCGCCCGGUACGACCAGAGAUAGUGACUGAGGAAGAGCAGCCUCACAUCUGGCAGUUUGCCUCUGGGAGAAUUCCAGCGUGACAUCUGCAGCUCUGUGGUUCCAGAAAGGAUGGUUCCCACAUUGAAGAAGACAUCUGUGGGACUGAGUUCCACCGAAAUGCAGAGGAACCAAAAAUGAAAAUGAAAAAUGUAACCAGAGUUGUGUGCCACUAGUUUUAAGCUUUGGUUUUUCUAAAUUAUUUUCUGGCUUCUCCUUCUGGGCUUUGCUGUAAACUUGCCAAGCAUGAGAACAACUCUUCAUCUAUUGAGUGGCAUUUUAAGCCAUCCUGUCAAAGUAUCUCCUGUCAUUUUUAUUAUUAUUACUCUAUAUUGCCUGCAAGACACGACUGGAGAAUUCUUAGUGCUCUAGCCUGAGUCAUUUUCCCUAAGAGAUCUUCAGCUCCACCUGGGAUGUGAUUCUUUGCUCUCUGGGAUUGAAGGUAGCUGAAGAGAAAUAGUUACACUUCAGGUUUGUUACAAGACCCAAGAAAUUGUUGCAAUUCCACUUGGAGUCACUGACUUUUCUGAAAUCAUAUAGGGCUUUAAACAAUGUCAAGAUCAGCCAUUUGAUAAGAAAAAUGUUUACCAUUGGAUUGUGAUACACAAUGUGCCUUAAAUAUUGAUAAAUUAGAUGAAUAUUUAUUUUGUAUAUCCAUUAAAAUAGACAGGAAAGAGAAGAUGUUGGGUGUUUGCACAGGCUUUUUAGUCAGUACGGAAUGACAUUCUUCAAGAUUUAAAAAUGCUAAAAUCAUUACUAUUUUCAAGAAGAGGGAGGAAGAAAACGUGGUAAAUAAUAUUUCAUUGCGAAGUGUUUUUCCCUGACUGAUCUAAUUGUGGCCAGAUCUACUUUUUGACGGUGCGAAGUGUACUUUUUAAUGGUGCCAAACAGCAGUUGAUCUAUAAUAACUGCUGCUUGGCACCAUUAAAAAGUACAUAUCUAAAAUUUCACUGUUGAAAUUUGUUCACAAGAACAAAUUGACUGUUAAAAUUAUUCCCUAACCUUAACACAAUUUUUUUUACUCCUGUCAGUAAAGUCAAGCUUAGCAGUUAACAGUUCCCUCCUCCAUGAUCUAUCUUGGAGGCUCUGAGAAGUUCAAAAAGUUACUAAACUAUAACAAUAAUCUCUCUGGCUUGACCAGUCCCUUUCUCAUUGGAUUUUAG